ensembl:lncRNA uncharacterized LOC109320601
AUGGGGAAAUUGAAGCGUAAGCUCUUUGGAAAGGGAAAGCAGAGGAAUGCAUCCUCUGGUGAAAAUGCACCAAUGCUUUCCCAAGCGAUGCCCGAGAAGCAGGAAACCCAUGGCUUUCAGGGAAUUAAAAAUAUAGCAGGUGCACUGCUGAAGAAGGCAAAGAGUGAGAAGGAAGAUGAUAGAGAGAAGCUUGUGGCCACACAGGAGCCAAAAUCCUCAGAUGAAGCCAUUUGUCAAGUCAUAGAUCAAAAGAAUUUUUUUGAUGCUUGUAAUCAUAUUUUUGAUCUGGAACAAUCUACACCUGUGGAUAAAGCUAAGAUUGAUGCACUUUACAACAAACUAGAAGAGAGAAUGUGGGAAGUUGUGAAAAGAGCAGUUCAGAGUGGUGAUGGUGUGUUACUAGAGCCCCUGAAAUCAGUAGCUGCCUCACUGGAGUGGCAGAAACAGAAAAAAAAAGAAGAGUUUGAUAGUAACAAUGAAAUGGAAGACACUUCAACCUGGAGACCAAAGUACUGGAAUAAGGAUCUGGAGAAUCUGUUAAUAGACUGCAUGGCAGCACAGUUCCCCUCUGCUGAAUCUGCCAUUAGCACAGAUGACAUGGCACUAAGAAAACAUCUGAAGCGACUGGAAACCACAGUUCUUCCCACCUUGGAAUGCAGAAGAGCUUUCUUCAAAGAAGCAGGAUUGCUCACCAGCUACAGGAAAUGCUGUAAUGUCUGCUUAUCUUCUCACCUUACCACCCUUACAGACUGUGACUUUAACUUUAGCAGAUGUCUUUUAGUUUAUGAAUGGGGCCUUAAGAUGUGCAAAAGUGAGAAGCUUCUGCAACCCAGUUGGACUGUGGAGCAGAAGGUCUCCGUGGAAGCCCUGUGUCUUGUGCGGAUUUUUUCAGAUCUGGAGGAAAAACUACUUGCAGCUGCAAAGGAGGAAGUAAGAGAAGCACUGAAAGAAGCCAUUACUCCCAGGAAAAAACUGAUCACAGACACUGCAGUUGUUAAGAUAUUGACAGAAGGGACAGAAGCUGUCCGGCAUAUCAGUGAGAGACUGAGGGAGAGAGUGGAAGUGGCAUGUCUGGAGGGAUUUCGGCAGUUUCUGUGUAGUUAUGAAAAUGAAGAAAGGAGCCUUCACCAACCUGACAGGCCUUCUGAGAGCUGCUCCAAGCUGCAAGUAUUUGAGAACUGCAUUGUUCUCAGAGCUGCCUGGCACAAGCUGACGUACAUCUAUAACACUAAUGCUGACAUGGAUGCCAAAGUAAAGGAAAGUAUAAGCAAGAUAGAAGAAGAGGGUAGAGAAUAUCUUUGGAAGGCAAUUGCUCCGGAUGUCAAGGUUACACUGAAGAAUCACUUCAGAAGUCACGAUUCUCAUCUUGCCAAGUUUCUAGUACCUUUAAAUUCAAACUUGUUAGCAUUUGAGAAGAAAGGAACAGAUAGUUAUGAGAUGCUCAUCAGGGCUGUCCACCACAGGAUCGCCAUGGAGUACAUACAGGCUCUCCUGACAGGCUCCAGGAAGUCACGUCUUACACAGCAGAGGCCAAUUACCCACAGAAUUAAACAAGACUAUGAAACCCUGCAAGACCUCUUUGUCAAAUGCUUAUCUGGUGAUCUGAAGGGGACCACAGUAUUUCCAGUCUUGCCCCAAGGCCAAAGGGAGUGGGAUGAUGUAUUGCUGGCACAAGGAUGUGGCCAGCUGUGCCUCAAGGGGCAGUUGCUUCCACAGCGAACAGGUUGUGUGGUCAGUGGUGCCCUACCACGAUGCCCUUGCCAGGUAAGCAAUGCAGAUUUCCACAGAGCCUCCAUUUGGAAACAGCUGCUGAGGUGAAGCAUGGACUUGGCCUGUGUCACUAGUAAGGGGAAUGAAGUCAGUAUAUUUAGUCUAGAGAGAAGAUGAAGGGAGGACACAGUUGUUUUCAAAGAUUUGAAAGGCUGCCCUAAAGAAGACUGGGGGGGAAGUUCUCCCUUGCCACAGAGAACAGGAGCUGAGGAAACAAAUUUAAAGUACAGCUAAGAAGAUUUAGAUCCAGUUUCAGAAAAAACUUCCUAUGAACAAUACAAAAGUGCCACAAGCUGCCUGGGAGAAUGUCCUUCCUUGAUGGGUUUCAAGAGUGGACUGGAAAGGCAGCUGGCUAGGAUGGGUAAGAAACUGUGAAUCCUACCUUUGUGCAGGAGGGUGGACUAGCUGCCACCUUUGUGGUCCCUUUCAAGCCUAAGAUUCAAUGCCCUGCAAUGCUGCCCCUUGGAGGCUUUACUUGCCACAUGUCUCUUCCCCCAUGGGUACAAGUUUGUGGGCACCAUGCACUGUGUUCUCCUUCCCUGUCUCUUCUUGUAGGAACCUGUGCAGUGUCUUUAUUGACAUCGGAGGUAGUUUGGCCUGCUGUGUGAAUAUGAGCUGUCUCCUCUGGUUGAGGAUGGCAUAGAGAUCUUCAAGAAAAGACUGGACGGUCACCUGGCUGGGGUUGUCUGACCCCAGAUGUCUUUCUUGCUCAUGCAGGGGGCUGGACCCAAUGAUCCUUUGGGGUCCCUUCCAGCCCUAUGAUUCGAUGGUUUCUGUCCUUGUGAGAAUUCACAUUAUUUAAUUGUUUUUUGGUGCAUAUGGAAGGGUUUUCUACACUGUUACAGCACUGUUUGGUUAGAGAAUAUUUUCUUAAUAUGUCAAAAGAGCAGUGAAGCCUUUGUGGAAAGGCUUUCCUUUCCUUGUGUAACCCAGGAACACCCAAGGGUGUGCCCGUCCUCAAUUGGAAGGGAUAGAUGAGGCAGGCGACAGUGCUAUGAGAGCGACACCGGUGAUUUGAGCAUGGGUCCCUCUUUCCUCUAUAGAGUCA